rnacentral:rRNA from 1 species
AUUGAACGCUGGCGGCAUGCCUUACACAUGCAAGUCGAACGGUAACAGGUCUUCGGAUGCUGACGAGUGGCGAACGGGUGAGUAAUACAUCGGAACGUGCCCGAGAGUGGGGGAUAACGAGGCGAAAGCUUUGCUAAUACCGCAUACGAUCUCAGGAUGAAAGCAGGGGACCGCAAGGCCUUGUGCUCACGGAGCGGCCGAUGGCAGAUUAGGUAGUUGGUGGGAUAAAAGCUUACCAAGCCGACGAUCUGUAGCUGGUCUGGGAGGACGACCAGCCACACUGGGACUGAGACACGGCCCAGACUCCUACGGGAGGCAGCAGAGGGGAAUUUUGGACAAUGGGCGCAAGCCUGAUCCAGCCAUGCCGCGUGCAGGAUGAAGGCCUUCGGGUUGUAAACUGCUUUUGUACGGAACGAAAAGACUCCUUCUAAUAAAGGGGGUCCAUGACGGUACCGUAAGAAUAAGCACCGGCUAACUACGUGCCAGCAGCCGCCGUAAAAC